rnacentral:rRNA from 1 species
AUAUCAAUAAGCGGAGGAAAAGAAACUAACCAGGAUUCCCCUAGUAACGGCGAGCGAAGCGGGAAUAGCUCAAAUUUUAAAUCGGACUUUUUGUUCGAAUUGUAGUUUAAAGAAGUGUUUUCGGAGUCAAACCAGGAAUAAGUCCCUUGGGAUGGGGCAUCAUAGAAGGUGAGAAUCCUGUAUGUUUCUGGCUUUGACUCUAUGUGAUACAUUUUCAAAGAGUCAGGUUGUUUGGGAAUGCAGCCUAAAAUGGGUGGUAAAUACCAUCUAAAGCUAAAUAUUGGUGAGAGACCGAUAGCGCACAAGUA